GUCCAGCUGUGGAGUCCCAAACAGAACGAAACGCGCGUCCUGUAU
rfam:Schistosoma rodhaini strain Burundi genome assembly, scaffold: SROB_scaffold0002186